CCUUGCCACCGCCCAGCUCCAGAUUAGCCUCAUUCCCACUCACCUCUCCAUUGGAGCCUAGAGCAGUUCUCCACCCAGAUCCCGUCUCUCACCCGUUGCGGCAGCGACCGACAGCACUCGGCAAGUUACGGUGCUAGCAAAGUACGGCGACUGGUGGUGGCGGAAAACGGCGAGUGGCUACGCAUGCUGUAGUGGGAGCGGCGGCAGCACGGGCUGAUGGGCGAGCGGGGGGCAGGGGCGCAAGGCUGAUGGCCGAGCGGCGGCGCGUGUUAAUGGGCGGCCGGCGCCGUGGGGUGAUGUUCUGCGCUGAUCGGUUCUCAUUCGCAUGCAGGGUAAAGGAGGCGAGAGAUCCACAUCUCUAGCUGAACAGACGCCCGAGGAAAGGUCUUCUCCCUACCCAGCCAGAAGUUUGAUCCUUCCGAUCGAAGAGUUUCCAUUUGCAAGACGUAUGGUUGGAAAAGGAUUGAAGUACCGGUGUAACACUAAUAAUUCUUACUAAGAUGUGAUUUCUAUGUCAAUGUGUAGAUGAUUCCUGAACAAGUAAGAUUGUUCCUUUUAGCUCAAUUAAAUGUCAGCUGCAUCAUAUCAUUUUCAUCUCUCUUAUAACAAGUCUUAUAGUUUCUUAGGUAUUGGUAAGUCAUAUUGGAGAUAAAUUGAGUUGUGAUAAUGCUAUGAUACUAAUGAUGACAAUGGUACAUAUGGCAGUGUGGGAGAUUAUAUAUAUGGCGAUGGGCAUUAUGAUCAAGAUGACGAUAAUGGUGAUGAGUCUGAUGAUCUUCGAGUCAUGCAACCAAGUGAAGUUAUGAAGUUCAUGGACAAUUUAGCUUAUGCACAAUGUUUGGACCAUUAUAUCUUAGUCACUAUUUUUUUUCAUUUGACACUUCUUAGAUGUGUCAGUAUGGCCAAUGUAAUAUUGAUUCAACUCAUUAGACAUGUUAUACUUCUUGUUGUUAUGCUAAAUAAAAUAUAUUUUCUUUGAUUUA